CUGCUCUGCUCUCAUCAUCAAACACCUGAAACACUUUCUAAAGCCUUGUUCUCACACAACCUUGUGAACGCAACAUCUCAGGAACACCUCCAGGGGAUUUCUGAAAAUUUGGUGCAAAUGUUUUCUUGGACAUUAAGAUGAACUGAUUAGAUUUAGGUGAUCAAAGGUCAAAGUUCAUGAAGGCUUCAUACAACCAGUUUUUUACCUCCUGAGCACGAGAUCUCACUUCGGUGUUUUGGCAUUCAACCACAAGGCAGUAAUUCUUCUUCUAAUGCUGUCCUUCACAUGAAGGUAUAAAUGAAGACGGUAUGUAUAUUUAUAUAUAUAUAUAUAUAUUGUUUUCAUCACUUUCUCAUGCGGUCUGUGUUCAUUCUUUAUAUACAGUCUUUAUAUACAGUCUAUGAUGGUAACACAAGCCCACUUCCUGUUUGGAUGCCCUAACUCACUCCUCUGUGUGGGAGGUUGAGGUCUGGUGCUGCAGAGCCAUGCACGAGGCGGCACUCUGCUGCAUAAGUGUCUUGACCAGUAAGAUGCAUGGACCGAAGCUGUGGUUUGCUCUGCUUCUGUCACUGAUCUUCUGUGUUGAGAGCAAAGGUAUCGUACAGAAACUACUUCUUACAGCGUAUAACUUACAGGAGACUGUUCCGUACGUCCCUCCAGUGUGCACAAGUACAACUGAGGUUAUCAUUAUAUUUGUCAUAUCAUUAUAACGUGCACCAUCAUAACAGAGAGAAACAGGGGAUCAGAAUGUGAACUGGUGUAUCAACAUGGAGAGGACUUUGAGACCAGUUGUGACUCCAGGUUCAGAUCAAUGAUGGACAAUCAGACUUUGUUCCUUCAUCUGAGCAGCUUGACCCCAGAGGACGAGGUGAACGUCACCUGUGAGUGUACAGAUCUGGAUGGAAUAUUUCACCUGCGUCUCAAUGUCACUGUGGAAGAGGAGGCAAUCGCCAGCAGCUCGUCUGAAGAGCUUAUUCCUUAUGUUGUAAUCGUUGUGAUUCUCUUCAUGGUUACAUCUGGAGCGAUCCUGGGACUUAUCUGCAGAAAUACUUGCAACAGAGGACAACAGGAAGCCACCACCGGUCAUCCAGAUGUGGUACUGAGCACCAGUACGUUUGUUUCUUAUCAAUUAAUCCAAUAACAAAAAUGAAAACCUGUUUCUAAACGUGUGUUGCUCCACAAGCACCAGGAGACAUUGAGCCAUACAGCACCUUCAUGCAGAGAGAGAGUGGACUUUAUUCUGUUUUUAAUAUUCCCAGAUUGAAUUCAUAUUACAUAACAUUUCCUUUAGCUGACACUUUUAUCCACAGCAACUUACAAUAGGUGCAUUCAACCAUGAGGGUACAAACCAGAGCAACAAGAAUCAAGAAAGUACAAUUUCCUUAAAGAAAGAAUUCUCGAGUGUCUCCAUGUGAUGCUUGUUUUCAUGUUGAUGUAACAAACUUAACUUUGAGUUUUAAUCAUUCUAAUCAAACUUGAUUGUUUCGCUUAUGUUUUAUUCACCUUGAGUUUCAUGUUUUUGUUUUUA